CCUGGCUCAGGAUGAACGCUAGCUACAGGCUUAACACAUGCAAGUCGAGGGGCAGCAUGGUCUUAGCUUGCUAAGACUGAUGGCGACCGGCGCACGGGUGCGUAACGCGUAUGCAACUUGCCUCACAGAGGGGGAUAACCCGUCGAAAGACGGACUAAUACCGCGUACACUCCACCUUGGGCAUCCAAGGAGGAGGAAAUGAGAUUCGCUGUGAGAUAGGCAUGCGUCCCAUUAGCUUGUUGGUGAGGUAACGGCUCACCAAGGCGACGAUGGGUAGGGGAACUGAGAGGUUGAACCCCCACACUGGUACUGAGACACGGACCAGACUCCUACGG
rnacentral:rRNA from 1 species